AGAUUCAUUCAUGGGAAGGUGAUUCAAGGCACCGACAUCGCUGUAUCUCUGUGCAGCGACAGAUGAUCAUUAUUACUCACUCACACUGCUCACGCAGGGCUCACACGCAACCUGGGAUCAAACUGACAGAUGAUGAGUGAUUGAAACAAGAUUAUAACAGCUCGUAUUCACGACAUAAUAACUUACUUUACUGUUAAUACUACUACUACUCCUACUACUACUACUAAUAAUAAUAAUACAAGUUAGUAAUGUUAGUAGCAUUUUUAAUGUUAAAUCUAAGUUAGCUAAAUGAAUUAUGCAGUACUUUCAGUUGUGCUUUAAUGCCGCUGUAUUAGGUUAUAAUAUAAUUCCAUAUAUUGCUUAGUGUCGUGUUUUUUCUCUUUUUGUCAUUUAAAAAAGUUCAAAAUCAGACAUCAUUGUCCUGUUCUAAAAUAUUUGGCUGCAACAAUAACAAACUCCACAUCCCGUCGUGCCUUGCGCGUCUACGUCGGCCGAGCGCAGCAUGUGCUGCACCGCUCUGCUCAAACUAUGGCUUAGUGCUGCUCAGGCUCUUCACGGGAGCGCAUCGUGUCAGCGGCAGAGAAACCCCUUGGAGGGACCAGGGACCAUCACUGCACUGGACCGCAAAAAGGAACCGGUUACUUUUAUUCCUUAUUGGAAAUAAUCACACUGAUCGAUCGGCUUGAUUUGCCACACCACAAAUCACUUUACGCAAGGAUUCUUUGGACGCGUUAAAUGGAUUAAACGCUAACAUUACAGCACUGACACGCGUGGAGUUAUUAUUAGAAUUAUUGUUAUUGUCGAAACUUGAUCACAAUGGCAACAGCUGAUGGAUUCAACAAUUCGGCUGCGGAUCCUGCUGUAGGAUAUAAGGAAAUACUGUCUCUUACAUGGGAUGAACGGUGUCUGUUACUCCCGCUGCCUAAAGUCCUGUUGCUGCUGCUGCUGCUGCUGCUGCUGCUGGACAAGCCGUCUUUCGGACAGGCGAGUCUCUUGGGAUAUUUCACGCGUGUUCAAGAGUGGCCGGCGUUAUAAAUGGCCAACAGGAAGAUAUGCUUCUGGAAAUGUGUUGUGGUCGAUUUUUGGCACGUGGAAAGGAAUAUCCUGGAAAAUAGAUAUACAUACAUAUCAUAUCAUACAUAUCUGGAAGCGAUGCUCAGGAGAUGUCCAGCAAUUUGGAUAAUGACAGCACGCAUCAACUCAUCCACCAGCAGAGUGAUGGAGUCCAAAUUCCUAGAAUAAGAUGUCAGCCUUUAAUUGCUUCCCAGGGAUCUUCUGAUGAUCUCAGGUGAGCACCAAGAAGAGGCUGACUAAUGGAAACAUGAUCUCAAGAGAUUCAACAGGAUCAUACUAAAUCCUGGUUUGGACUGCGGACCAGCAUCCCCCUGCAGCAGAUGUUUGCUCCUGGCAUGGCUGCUGACAGCAUGAGCUCCAUCACUGACAAUCUUGCGCUCGAGAUCCAGCGCCAGCAACUUUGACUUGGAGACGCUGUGACAUAAACUCAGCGGGACAGCAGAGUGUAUUCUGCUGCUCAGACAUUAUGGAACAGAUCAGUCAACCCUAUCUGGGGAGGUGCUCGAUAGGAAAGUCAAGCCGAUGAAUGCGCAUUUACUGUACUCACCACAGCGGGAUCUACAUAUUGUUUGACUUUUUCUAAAUUGAACCUGGAUUAAUAUUUUCCCGUAUAUACAUCUGCUUUUGAUAUCCAGUGUUUAUUCACACUGUUGCCCAUACACUGUACUGUAGUUGUGACAUUUACUGUUUUAUUCUGGGACUGGUAUCAACAAGAAUUGGAACUGGAAAUGGAAAAUAAUCAGAUGUUAUUUUCAUUUUUAAGACCAUUUUAACAAAUGGAAGGUAGUGCUUACACCAGCGCACUCACAUAUAAAGUUUAUCUAGUGAGGAGCACAGUGCACUCUCCUGUGGUGUAAAACAAAUUUAGACACAUGUGAUCAAGAUUCCUCUGAACCAUUACUCAUUCACUGGUAAUAUGCCAUCUGACAUCUUCUAAUGGUGAUUACAAAGAAUCCAUUAUCAUAAAGGUGCUGAUGAAUGCAAUCCAAAAAUUCUCCUAUUGACAGUGCAUUUUACUGUGACACAAUGACAGCCUGUGUUAAUAUUGAUUAAUUAUCUUGUCAAACUGCAUAUUCUCAUUAUGAUUUAUAGCUUCAUAACUUCUGUUGUGUCUAUGGAACCCUAUUAACAGAAAUAAAAAAAUCAAAUGUA